rnacentral:rRNA from 1 species
AGCGCAGGCGGCACGUUAAGUCAAUUGUUAAAUUCCCCGGCCUAACCGGGGGGUCAGCAAUAGAAACUGGCGCGCUAGAGGGUGGAAGAGAGAAGUGGAAUUCUCGGAGUAGCGGUAAAAUGCGUAGAUCUCGAGAGGAACACCGAUGGCGAAGGCAGCUUCUUGGUCCAUUUCUGACGCUCAUGCAUGAAAGCGUGGGGAGCAAACA